rnacentral:rRNA from 1 species
GUGGGGAAUAUUGGGCAAUGGGCGAAAGCCUGACCCAGCAACGCCGCGUGAAGGAAGAAGGUCUUCGGAUCGUAAACUUCUAUCCUUGGUGAAGAUAAUGACGGUAGCCGAGAAGGAAGCCCCGGCUAACUACGUGCCAGCAGCCGCGGUACUACGUAGGGGGCAAGCGUUGUCCGGAAUGCUUGGGCGUAAAGGGCGCGUAGGCGGCCUGGUAAGUCUGGAGUGAAAGUCCUGCUUUUAAGGUAGGAAUUGCUUUGGAUACUGUCGGGCUUGAGUGCAGGAGAGGUAAGUGGAAUUCCCGGUGUAGCGGUGAAAUGCGUAGAGAUCGGGAGGAACACCAGUGGCGAAGGCGACUUACUGGACUGUAACUGACGCUGAGGCGCGAAAGUGUGGGGAGCAAACAGGAUUAGAUACCCGGGUAGUCC